rnacentral:misc_RNA from 1 species
GAUGAAGAACGCAGCGAAAUGCGAUAAGUAAUGUGAAUUGCAGAAUUCAGUGAAUCAUCGAAUCUUUGAACGCACAUUGCGCCCGCCAGUAUUCUGGCGGGCAUGCCUGUUCGAGCGUCAUUACAACCCUCAGGCCCCCGGGCCUGGCGUUGGGGAUCGGCGGAGCCCCCCGUGGGCACACGCCGUCCCCCAAAUGCAGUGGCGGUCCCGCCGCAGCUUCCAUCGCGUAGUAGCUAACACCUCGCGACUUGAGAGCGGCGCGGCCACGCCGUAAAACACCCAACUCUUCUGAAGUUGACCUCGAAUCAGGUAGGAAUACCCGCUGAACUUAAGCAUAUCAAUAAGCGGAGGA